rnacentral:RNase_P_RNA from 1 species
CCGGCAGGCCAGGUGGCCGCGGGCGUUUCCCAGGAAACGCUUGAGGAAAGUCGGGACACCACAGGGCAGGGCGCUGGCUAACGGCCAGGGGGGGAAACCCCACGGAAAGUGCAACAGAAAACAAACCGCCCAAGUCCGCGCGAGCGGGCCGGCAAGGGUGAAAAGGUGCGGUAAGAGCGCACCGGCGCCGCGGCGACGCGGCGGCCUGGCAAACCCCGCCCGGUGCAAGGUCAAACAGGAGCUGGGAGGCUGCCCGCCAAGGCGGCGGCUCUGAUCUCGGCCGCCGCGCCCCGCCAUCGGGGCAGCUCCGGGUAGACCGCUCGAGGCCGCCGGCAACGACGGCCCCAGAUAAAUGGCCGCCCACGACAGAAUCCCGCUUACAGGCUUGCCGAGCCG